CGGCGGACGGGUGAGUAACGCGUGGGUAACCUGCCUCAUACAGGGGGAUAACAGUUGGAAACGGCUGCUAAUACCGCAUAACGUCGCAAGACCAAAGAGGGGGACCCUCGGGCCUCUUGCCAUCGGAUGUGCCCAGAUGGGAUUAGCUAGUAGGUGGGGUAACGGCUCACCUAGGCGACGAUCCCUAGCUGGUCUGAGAGGAUGACCAGCCACACUGGAACUGAGACACGGUCCAG
rnacentral:rRNA from 1 species